AGAAAAUGGGGAGGGAGUUGUUCCUGGGACUUCUUGUGGCUUUGGUGGUGGGAAUUGGUGGCUGUAGUAGAGCUUAUGGUGAAGUUUCUCAAGUUACCAUGACAAAGAUUGGUAGAGUAAAUGAGGAGGGUCCAUACUUAGGUAUUGUAGUGCCAAAUGCCUUUGAGAUGAACCCACUUCUCCAGUCCCCAAGUUUUAUGGCUGAUACUGAGCUUCCUUACUUGGACUUCUCAGGGAGAAGAUUUAGGAUUGGAGAAGUGGAAACUGUGAAGGUGAUAAUUGUCAUGACUGGAUUAAGCAUGCUAAAUGCAGGUGUAACCACACAAUUACUGCUAAGUCUGUUCAAGGUGAGUGGUGUUGUCCACUAUGGAAUUGCAGGAAAUGCAAAUCCUUCACUCCAAAUUGGAGAUGUAACUAUCCCUCAAUACUGGGCUCACACUGGCCUCUGGAGUUGGCAGAGGUAUGGAGACGGGUCUAAUGACGAACUCCCCUUAGAAUCUAAUGGAGACUACACCAGGAAAUUUGGUUUUCUUGAAUUUUCUGAUUACAACAACAAAACUCAUGCAAAAAAUGGGAAAUCAGUCGAAAACCUUUUAAACAGAGUCUGGUUCCAACCAGAAGAGACUUUUCCAGUAAAUGGAAUUCCUGAAGUUAGGCAGCACGCCUAUUGGGUUCCUGUAGACAAGCAUUACUUCCAAGUUGCAAAGAAAGUUCAGGAUUUGAAGUUAAGGGGAUGCGUGAAUUCGACUUGCUUACCAAGAACACCUAUGGUGGUGAGAGUCAAAAGGGGUAUUAGUGCUAAUGUUUUCGUGGACAACGGUGCCUAUAGAGGGUUCCUCAACUCCAAAUUCAAUGCAACUCCAAUUGACAUGGAGAGUGCAGCAGUAGCCCUAGUGUGUAACCAGCAGCAGAAGCCUUUCAUUGCUAUCAGAGCUCUGUCAGAUUUAGCAGGUGGGGGUUCUGCUCUUUCCAAUGAAGCUGACAUCUUUUCCUCCUUGGCUGCUCAAAAUGCUGUCGAUGCUUUACUUAAAUUCAUUUCCUUGUUGUUUGCUUAAUUGCUUAUCUCAUCA
rnacentral:misc_RNA from 1 species